GAGAGAGAGAGAGAGAGAGAGAGAGAGAGAACUGUAUGUAGCCCAGGAAUGUCUCUAGCAUGUAAUGUAAGGGGAGGAGUUCAUCAGUGGGUACAAUUAGAACAGGGAGGAGUUGCAGGGCCGGGGACGACGAUGGCGUUGCCGAUGACGGAUGGGUCUUCUUCUUCUUCUUCUUCUGUAGGGGGCGGGGGUUGGUGGCUAUCCACAGGUUCCGGAUAAUUUAGAGGCGAGCGGCGGCGGGACCGCCGCCUGGGGGUCACCUGGCCGACCGGAGCUCCGCUAACACGAGCUUGAUCUGUUCCUGCAUGAGAUCGAUGCGGCGGGAAAAGACCUCCAGCUCGAGGAUCUGCUGCUUGCGCCACUUGGCGUCCACCACCGCGGUGGGCGCCUUGGCGUUGGCGGCGGGGCCGCCGAGGCCGAAAGGGAGAGGGCUGAGCCCGAGCCCGCCCCAACCACCGGCGACCGCCGCCGGGGGGGUGGCGCAGUGGAGCAGCUCUUUGAACAUCGGGGAGAGGCAGCUCCUCAUUGUCUCCUCGAUCACGUUCGGCACCGGCAUGGGCCCCCCCGUCGCCUUGACCUCCGCCGGAGCGGCGGCGGUGGCGGCGGCGGUGGCGGGGCGCUUCCGGUGGCGCUUCCAGCGGUCGCCGCCGUCGUCAUCGUCGUCGUCGUCGUCAUCGGGGGCGGCGGCGGCGGUGGCGGAGCCCCAGAUCUUGUCAGAGAGGUCGAAGGCGGCCUGGUCGUGGGGGCUCUUGAAGGCGUAGUCCUUGCCGGAGCGGAUCCUGUUGGUGAUGUUGCGGUACUUCUUCUUCAAGCGGCGGAGCUUC
rnacentral:lncRNA from 1 species